AGAGGGAGCAUACAUUCAUUAAAGACCCAACUCAAACCCUAUAGCUCUAUAUUUAACCUCAACAUGCAUCUUUUCCCUUUAAACCUUCAUAAAACUCAAUUCAAAACAGAAGAGAGGCAAGGAUCUAGGCUUACCUCUUGGAGAUCUAGGAGUGACAGCAACCCCAACGUGGAGAUGAGUCAAACGGUCUCCAAGGCUUCAAAAACUCGGGUUUAAGCUUAGAUCUUCAAAGACAAGAGAAAACUCGUAAAAACAUUGAAGGAUUUGAAAGAAAAUCAAAAAAUCAACAAAGGGAGGGCAAGAACUCACCUUUGCCCGAAAAUGGGAAGAAAAACUCUCCCGUUUUUGGACUGGGGGCCUCUUAUAGGUGGCUGGCCAGACCACCUUCGGGGGCCGAAAGAGCUUCCGCGGCAGCACCAUGUUCGGCGGCCGAACCUGGGCUUAUCCCUCAAAAACAUUUUUCUUCUUUUAAAAACUUUAAUCCAAAAACUUAGCAUUAAAACCAUAAAAAGCAUUUUGUAAAAAUAUAUUUUACCCUUCUAGAGGUCCCAGCAUUCGAGAUUCCGGAUUCCAAUAGAGAUUCCGUCGGAAGAUUGGAAUUCCGACACCAAAGUCUAGCCGAGUAUUACACUUAAAGUCCCCUUAUAGAAUCGAAGGUCAAAUUUUCGAAGGCAUGUUAGAUGGCCAAAAGGCAGCCUUCACAGAUAGACAUAACAUUUCCUGUGAAUUCGAUGAUGAUGUGGCUGACUACUUGAUAAGGGGCAUCACCAGUUAAGCCGAACCUGGAUUCUUCUGCAAUGCAAAACCCGAUUCUGCCUCAGUCCAUAGCCACCAAAACGUGAUAAAACCCACAUGCAACAGCUCAUAAACAACUAUACACAAAAGGAACACCUAAACUUCAUCAGCAUCAACAACACAAGAAGUAUUAUCCAUUAUAAGAAAACUAGAAACUUAAGCUCCAACACAUAUAAAAGAUCUUGCUUGCAUCACCAACCAUAGAAACAACUAAUGCCUCUUUUAAAAUCCCAACAACAGAAGAGAGGCAAUGAUUAAACUUAUCCCUAGGAAGAAGUACCAACACAGCAAUAAGGAGAAAUUCGGAAAGGAAGAAGAAAUGAGCUCUGAAGAUCUCAAAAGUUAAAACUUUGAAACACUGAGCUUGAUUUCUUCAAAACAAAAGGUAAAACUCAUGAGAAAACUGUGAAAAAAAAAAGAAUUUGUAAAAAAGAAGAGCAGAAGACUUACCUCUACUCGAAAUGGAGUAAAAAUUUUCUCCUUUUUGGGCAGAGCCCCUUUUAUAGGUGACUGGAAAAACCACAUUCAGCGGUCUAGCUUGAAGGUUUGGUGGCUGAAUCUUAAAAAUUUUCUAAAACUGUUUUUUUUUUUUUUAAAUACAUCAUAAAAUGCUUCAAACUCAUUUUAUAAAAAAUUCAUUUUACCCUUCUAAAGUUUUCGAUUCCAAGAUUCCAGAUUUCAAUGGAAAUUCCAUCGAGAAGUUAGAAUUCCGACAUCGGAGUUUAGCCGGGUAUUCCAUGAAACAUCCCAACAGCAAAACAACCACAAAUCAUAAACCGAACUCAAAAGUAAGGCUUAAGAAAGGAAGGAAUCAAUGACAAAUUACGAAAUAAACUCACCCUGACGUUGCUGAGCACAACCACCCGAAUGAAAAUAGAGGCAAGGAGAGAUGUCAUGGCUUUUCCGGUCUAUAUAGUCCUAGAGUAACCAUUCAGAGGGCCUCCGGUGUUGAUAAUCCAUCAAACCAAACCACCCAAACUUCAAUCGACUAAAGAAGACUGGAGAGAAAGACCGUAUCCAUGCAACCAGAGAAACUUCAUACCAGAUCCAAAAUUUUCACAUAAAAACUUAAACAACCAUAAGAUCGAAAGAAAAUUUGACCAAAACAAAACAACAUGACUUGUACAAUCCCUGCCCAUAAGGGCAAGAACCCAAAAUCAUAAACCCAAAUAAUAUCCCGUUCUGUUCUCUCUCUAGAACUCCUUUUUUCUUAUUUUAGAGUUUAGAACCAACUAACCAAAUUGUAAUCUGAUUCUAAUAUGUUAGCUUUUAUUUUUUUUUUAAAAAAGUCAUAUAAUAUCAAUUAUGACAUAAAUGUACAGUAAACAGACAUAUUGGGUAC
rnacentral:lncRNA from 1 species